CCUGGAAGGCACGCUCCCGCGUGAGGCUGCGAUGACGCAUGAGAUAGGCGGUGCAGACGGCGGCGGAGCGGCUGCGGCCGUUCUUGCAGUAGACGAGGCAGGCACCACCGGCGCGUACCGCGGCCUCCAUGGCGGCACAGGUCCAGACAUCACCUACGUAGAGGCCUUCUCGGCAUCCAUUUCCUUCUUCUGUGGCCUAAGGAAGGAUUCUGACUUUCCUGGGAUGGGAUUCCCAUUUUUCCCAGAGUUCACGGGAGCCAUCCAAGUAGGUGGAGAUUCCCUGUCCCCCAGCUCCAGAAUCGGGCUUCUGAUUACGUCCAGUCAGUGACGCCUAUACCCCCAUGACUGCUUCGGGAAAGGGCUUGGGCUGCCAUGUGAACCAGAGAGGAGAGAGGGGCUUGGAAACCUCUGUCCUCUCCUUAUGAGCACAGAGGGAAGCCAGCCUUGGUUGAAAGCACAGCUGAAGAAACGGUCCUCGAAGAUAUUGCUGGGCCACUGGAUCAAACCAAACCUGAAGAGCCUCCAGCUUCUGGACUGUUUGGUUUCCUGAGCCAUCCAAUCACCCUUUACUGUUGGAUAUUUGAGUCGACACCACCUGCCCACCACACCAUGGCCCAGUGGUUUUCAAAGCGUGGUGGGAACUUGGUAGCAAUGCACAUUCUCAGGAGUCCACCUACUCAGGACCUGCUGAAGCGGAAACCCUGGGAGUGAGACACAGGAAGCUGUGUGUUGCCAUGCCCUCCGUGUGAUUCUGAUAAAAGAUAAAAACCUAACCAUCAUUUAGUUGAUCUAAAAAAUUCAUCCCGGAGGCCCCAGAGGGGGAAGAGGAGGAGCCCGAGGGUCCCCUUAGGGAGCAGGACCUGAAGGAGGCCUGCAUCGAGCUCGCCCAGGGUGUGCAGGAGUGGCAGGACGGCUGCGUCUACCGAGGAGAGUUCAGCAGGACAUGAAGCUGGGAUGCGGCGCAUUCUCUCGGCCCACGGGCGAGGCAAGUCGUUCCUGGUGCUCUCCCCUCUCCGGCCCCAGUUCAGCCAGCCACGGCCUGUCCCUCUCCUUCGGAGAGGCACGUGCUGUGAGCUCAUAGAUCCACCGAUGGGAAGGAUGCUAGGCAAAUGUCCUUCCUAUUUGAGAAACACCCAGAGAGACUUCUGAGAUCACGUCCGAGGUUCGCCUGGGUGUCCACAGGCUGCAGCUCGGGAAACUGUGACUUCAGAAGAUAAAUUCUUAUUCUAGGCAAAUAUUUUAAAAUUGUGAAUUACUGUCGUGAGUUGUAUAUUUGUAUUGAUGAAAUUGCCUUGUAUUUAAGCUCAAACAGAAAAAGUGGAUCUUCCUAAAAGUGAAAGUGCACUUUUGCGCCCCUGCAGCAGGCGGUGUCAGGACCUCAGUGGGGACUCUGAGGGGCCCGUGGCAGGAGCUGUUGGCGCCACCUGGCGUCCCCACGAGGGUGGAGCAGCCGUGCGUCUGGCGAACCUGGGGGUAUGCUGUGGCCUGGGGGCUUAGUGCGCCUCCCCCAGGGGGAAGCUGGCUUCUGAAGGCUUCCCAACAAUGUGCUGCAGGUGCGCUGGUGGAGGAUUCUGCCCUGCUUGCAGGGUUGUGUGACUCAGUGGAGACUUAAGUGCAUCUUUUGCUUGCAGAUAAUAAAAACCGUCUGGAGGCACUGUAGGGGUGUGUGCGUUUGGGGGGUUGGAAAAGCAUCAGAGGGCAGGACACCUGGCACUGAAGCUCUUCUGGGAAGCAGGCGCUGGCUGGCACAACCUCCUAGGGGCUGUGUAGGGUUCCGGCUCUGCCCCUCUCUCUUCCAGGCUUGGUUCUGCCUGUGGGGCCCCGGUUCACCUGGUUUUGGCGCCCAAGGCUGGGGGACCUCGCCCAGCCCCUCACCUCCUGCACUUAGUCUCCCGAGUCCAGGGGAGAGCGGGGCAGGGAGGCGAGCGGGGGUCUUGGGAUGGAACCUGGGGAGCGGUGGGGGCAGGGAGGGGACAGCAGGAGCAGCGGCAGGCAGAGGCGGAGCUUCUGGGCCCCCAGCCCAGUCCCCCUGGAGUGCGCCCCCAGCACGGAGGAGCCUCCAGACCUCACGUGAGGACAGAGGCCGCGACCCGAGCCCGUGCUGAGCUUCUGCCAAAGAAUGCACGGCAUCGUGACCCCGAUGACCAAGCGCUGAUUUUUGUUCAGCAUCUGUUUCUUUAGUCCUUGGCUACUUCCUCUUUUACCCAACACUGUGGUGUCCAGUGGUCAGACAGCCUGUGUUCCCAGCCGUGGUAGGUUGGGGCCCACUGACCGGCCCUCCUGGCCCCGGGUCCUCGCCGUGCAGGGGGACCACAGCAGGUGGAGCCUCGGCUUUGUCACUGCCUGGGGGGACGUCUGGGUCCACUGAGCAGGUGCUCCUGCAGCCACGGCGGCUCCUGAACCAAAGAGGCCAGGAGGACGAGAGGGCGUGCAGGCCGAGAGCAGCGGCUUUAAACGUGUCAGCUGUCUUUGAGGAACGGGCCCAAGCGCAUCAGUCCGGCUGGUCAGAUGAGGCUCCGGCACCGUGUGGAGGAAGGAUGGAGAGGUUCCUCCAAAGCUGCACCCUCCUGGGAGUGGACAGAAACCCUCUCUCCUGCAGGCGAACCGACGAGCCCCCGGGGGGGUGGAUUCUCCUCACAGUUCUACACAAAUGGUCUGCAACGUGGGACUUCUUUUCAGUUGGAUAGACUCUGAUAGGCCCCCCCAAAUCAUACAAAUGGAAUGAAGGUGGGCAUCAGAUGGGCUGUCCCCCGCCCAGCGCCUCACUGCUCAUUGUGUCCCUGCACUGGCCAGGAGUAGUAACUGGCAGGACCAGGUCCCCCCACAUGGGACUGGAAAGGACCCUUGUAGGCUGCUGUAACUGCAAAGUCCACCUUCAGGGCUCACGCAGCCUCAGGCUUGGCUGGGUCCAGGGGUUCCAGCGACUCUGUCAGGCCCUCUCUCUCCCAUCUCCAUGUGGGCAGCCAAGUUUGACCUUCUGCCAUGAGGCAGAAGAGGGUGGUGUCGGUGUCACACCUUCCUGCAAGAGAGAAAGGGCCCUAGUGGACACUGGUGAGACUCGGGGAUGCGUCCCGUGGCCAAACGCAAGUCAAGGCUGGAGGCGGGGGUGGGAGCCCUUCGCUUGGCCAGGCCUGGCCACGUGUGCUGGGGCUGGUGUCAGUCCUCCGUCAACCUGUGGGGACUCGUCUCCGUCACCAGAGGAAGAGAAGGGGCGCUAAGCAGGCCGCAGUCACCGUCCCUCAGGCGCAGGGUGGCCUGUGAGCACGGCCGCCGGCCGCCUGAGAGCCCAGCCGCCUGCUUCUGGUGGGGAAGGCGGCUGUCUGACUCGCGUGAGAGUCAAGUCUAGUGACUGAAAAGUGCUCGGAAUGGACAUGGCGCUCUGAUUUCCUCCUGGGGCCCCAGUAGAGGGGCACCUGCACCACACUCCCCCCCCCCGCCCGGGGCUCUGGACCCGAGCACAGACGGCCCACGUCCAUGGCCUCAGGAGCGAGCAGUCUUAAGUUAGGGCCACGCCAGCGACCCCGGGGCUAGCGGCCCCCCACUCUCUGGGCCAGCCUGCUAACGUGGACCUGAGCGGGGGCGACGGGGUGAGAGCAGAGCCCGGCGUGGGGCUCCCGAGUGGAGACAGCUCCCGCCCAAACCCAGGCAGUGCCGACACCUCCCCAGACUCCCCCGCCUGAGCCGGGCAGGAGGGAGCGUGGCCAUCGGGGGGCCGAGCGCCUGGCACCCGCUAUGCGUGAUUCGGGUGACCCCUGGCACUUGAGGGGGGCCUGGUGGCCCGGCCCCCUGUGAGCCCAGUGCAGCCCCGCAGCCCCUGUUCACUGUGGCCCAGGCCUGGAGGCUCAGCUGGGAGGGCGUUCUGGAAGGUUCUGGGGCGGUGCAGGGCGGCUCCUCCAACAGAGCCGCUGCGGAGCUCUCUGUUCACAGUCCUACCACGGGCAGUUCUGCCGGGACCACCGCCACGGCCUGGGCACGUACGUGUGGCCGGAUGGCUCCAGCUUCACGGGCACGCUUUACCUCAGCGCCUGAGAGGGCUACGGCACCACGUACCUGAAGACGAGGCUCUUCCAGGUGAGGGGAUGGCCCUGGUGUUCAGGCCACCGGACAGCAGCACAGGUGCUCCUGGGGAAGAUUGUUUGUUUGACGAGAAGUAGCUUUCUUGGUCUUAGUGAGUAUAAUAGUAUCGUCACAAGGCACAGUCGUAAGAUGCGUGAAAAGAAAAUGAAAACAACAGGAAAAAAAAAUGAAAGCUGGUCGCUGUUCUGCUCCCCGGAGCAGGGACGGGCUAGCAGCACGUCGUGUAUCCUUAGGUUAAACAGUAGACUCACCGAAGAUAUUUACCUCUUUACACAUAAACUGGCUCAGUCUACACUUACUGUUUUGAGACUUGCCCUUUUUCCUGGAGAAGAUUCCUGGUUUUGCAAAUAGAGAUACCUCCCCCGCCCCCAUCUUACUCAUUCCAGGAAAAGCCCCGCUUCAGCACACAGAGCUGGAAGCUCUGACAGCAUAGAGCUGUGUGACAACCACCACAGUCAAGGUGCGGAACAGUCCCAGCAGCCCCGGAACGUCACCCGUGUGCCCUUGGAGCAGCUCUGUCCUCCCACCCCCAGCACCCAGCCGUUGCGUUUUUGCCUAUAAUUUUGCCAGGUCAUAAGACUGUCAUGUGUCUUCUUCUGCGUUUAUGGUUUUAGCUCUUACCUGUAGGUCUGUGUUUGAGUUAAUUUUUGUGUUUUUGUGUGAAGUAAGGCUCCCUCCUCCUCCUCCACGUGUGGACGUCCAAGUGUUCCAACUCCAUCUGCUGAAAAGACUCACUUCUCCACCGCCUAGCCUUUGCGUCUUUGUGAAAAAUCACAUCUGGAAACUAUAAAGCAUCAGUGAAUGUAAGGGAUGAUUAUUGUUCAUGGCUGGCUUUUUUUUCUUUUUUUCUGAGUUGUAAGAAAACUUAGCAAUUGCCUGCUCCUCGGAUUUUGAACCUGGGAACCUUGGAUUGGAGGUGUAUGUUCCCAGACUCCCUGAAAUCGUGUGCAAAAAUUAGUGGGAAUGGGCAUUUUAGGGGAAGGAGGAUCCAUCGCCAGCAAGUUUUCAGAGGGGGCUGUGACCCAGGAGAGUUAAGAACCACAAUUCCUUUGCCACGAGGAGGAAACUGAGGCCUAAAUGUCAUUUGGGACCCGUCGCAGCCAAUUUGAAAUCUCUGUUGAAUCCCUGGGAUAUGUGAGCUGUUCUCUGCAUAUUCAGGGUAACGACACUCCACUGUUUGGCUUCUAUUCUGAGUCUUUUCACCAUGGGUCGCCUGAGGGGUGGUUGACGCAUAUGGUACGGUGGCCCCCAAUAUAAAGGAGCUGAAAGAAGGAGUGGAUGUGUUCUCUAGGAUCACGAAGCCUGUUUAAUCUUUGGGCCAACAGCUUAUGUUCUGGUGCCUGACUACCUUCCUGACUGUCUCACUGACCAUUUUCCACGACCACCGUUGCCAUCGUUCCUCCUGUUUUGUAUUCUUAGUUUGUGUGGUUGGCAGUGAGCAGGCUUAGUUUUAAAUGGUGCUGCCAAGUCCAGCUAAUUAAUGGUGCAGGUGGGUUUUAGCAAGCUGGCUGACUGGGCAAACUGAGCCAGGCAUGGAAUUCCUGAAGAUGUUUGGGGGUUCGUCUUUAUUAAUCGAAGGUUAACAUUCUCUGACAACUUUUGUUAGAACUUCUGCUGAACCUCAAGAUCAGUAGGUUGCAAGUGUUUCAAACCUUCACUUUUUCCCGGCCUGCUUUGUGUAUUCGCUUUGCUUGCAAGUGUGUUUACUCAGAUGGCCAAAAGGCCCGUCCGUGCUUCUUUGUUCAUUGUCAGCUGCUUUUAUCAAAUUCCAGGCCAUUAUCCAGCAAACACUAGAGAAAUUUGAACACUUGGAUUUCAAACAUUUUUUUCAGUUUGUGGAGUGGUGCUACCAGUGGUACCGUUCUAAGCAAGCAGGCACAAAGCCACAGGGCGGAGACAAAGGAUUUCGGUUCCAGAGAAGUGACUGUUUUGGAGAAAAAUGUGUUGGUCUUUUAGCUCUUUUGUAAUUAAAUCUGGAUGUACCUCAGAAGAAUCUUAAGACUGUGUUGAUAAGAUGCUUUCCUCAGGAGAAAGGAGGAAAAAAGCAACUGGAACUCAAAGCUUGAAGUUCUGUGACAACACAUGAGCUGUCCAGGAUAGGAGGUUGACAGGGUUUCACUACAGCGCUCUGCUCUUGCUGGAACAGAUGUCCUUCAGUGUAGUCACGGCGUGGACUCCAGACUUCCAGAUUUUCAAGAACUGGAUCAGGGACCUGGAAGAGAUUAUCAAAGUGUGACGGGAACUUGGGAGCUGGAUUUUUUUAUAUUUGAAUUUGGGGACUGUUGUCCUUGCUCUGAGAAAAGAGACAAUGACAGCGAGCACUGCCGCCAGCGCUGUUACUGGGAAUUCGGAGACCUGAGUUUUCGCCAGACGCUCAGUGCAGACUCUGGCGAUGCUCCGCCCAAAGUGAACUCCGCCUGCAGAUGUGGCCCCUGGACUUUCGCCCAUGGUGAUUCUGCCACCUUACUACUGAAGAAGGCGUCAUUCCAGUGGACCACGUGACCCAGGAGGCAUCCAGCGAAGCAUCAGGAUGUGGCCUUCACCUCCACUCCCGUGCUGUUCUACCCGGAUUCAGCACAGCCCUUUGUAGGGAAGUCAACUCCUCAAGCCAAAUAGCUGAAGCUAUUUUAUCAACAAAGGCUCCAUUUCUUCCAUGAGUGUGCGUUUUGUUUCUUCAGUUAAAGCCUUCAGAGACACAUAAUACAUUUGGACCAGGGGAUAUUUAGUUGUCAGCACUGUCUGAAGAAUGGCAACGUCUUUUUGAGAACCACAUCGGACCAUGCCCCACUAUCUUAAAAGACUGAAAUUCAGGAAAUAUCUAACCUGCACCCCAUUCUUUUUCCGCGUCAGAUCUGUAGUAGCCUGCUGAAUGAGUAAGCAGAUGUUCUGACCCACUGGGAUUAAAACAAGGGCACAGUGAACUCCCAGCAUCUUCUUUGCGAUUACUCAGGAACCAGAACUUUUCACACAAAUGGAAGAAAUUCUACCAAGGAAUCCGUUUACCUAACAGCAUCUCACAAAGCUCCAAUCAGAUUCCAGAAAACGCCUCUUGAUACAUCCAGCACUUUGUGAACAACUUAUUUUUGUUGUUAAACCAAUUAGAUCGUGGGUUUUCCAAAGUCUUUGUGGCCAUGAAGCCCUUCGAGUGAAAACUUUAUGGAAGCCCAGAGUAAAAGUGAAGCUGCUCUGGAGGAAGCAGAAGUGGGGGCCUACAACCUGCCACAAGCAUCUUACUUUACCACCAUGGUGACAUCUAAGGAGACUUCUUUACAGCAACUAGAAUUCUUCAGAACACAGUUUGAAGACCACUGCCCUAGACAACAGUAUGUUCGACCUGAAUGGCAUUCUGUCCUGUACCUGUACCCAGCACCGUCCAUGUUCAGUUGAUGCUGAACAUUCUUAGGAAUAGUUACCGUGGGCAAACUCAGAAAAGUGCAGGAAGAUGGGCAUACCUUUGCCCCCCAGAGUAGUCAUACGGGCUGAAGAGGUGGCAUCAAAUGGACCUAGAGUAAUAGCCCUCUACCCACAGAUGGACUGCCAGUGACUCCUGGAUCUGAUACAGCCGGAGGGCACCCCAUCCGCACCCCAC